rnacentral:rRNA from 1 species
AGAGUUUGAUCCUGGCUCAGGAUGAACGCUGGCGGUCUGCUUAACACAUGCAAGUCGAACGGAGUACCUCGGUACUUAGUGGCGGACGGGUGAGUAACGCGUGAGAAUCUGCCUUCUGGUCGGGGACAACCAUUGGAAACGAUGGCUAAUACCGGAUAAGCCCACGGGUAAAAGAUUAAUUGCCAGAAGAAGAGCUCGCGUCUGAUUAGCUAGUUGGUGAGGUAAAAGCUCACCAAGGCAUCGAUCAGUAGCUGGUCUGAGAGGAUGACCAGCCACACUGGGACUGAGACACGGCCCAGACUCCUACGGGAGGCAGCAGUGGGGAAUUUUCCGCAAUGGGCGAAAGCCUGACGGAGCAAGACCGCGUGAGGGAGGAAGGCUCUUGGGUUGUAAACCUCUUUUCUUGGGGAAUAAAAAAAUGAAGGUACCCAAGGAAUCAGCAUCGGCUAACUCCGUGCCAGCAGCCGCGGUAAUACGGAGGAUGCAAGCGUUAUCUGGAAUUAUUGGGCGUAAAGCGUCCGCAGGUGGCACUUCAAGUCUGCUGUCAAAGACCGGGGCUUAACCCUGGAAAGGCAGUGGAAACUGAAGCGCUAGAGUGUCGUAGGGGUAGAGGGAAUUCCUGGUGUAGCGGUGAAAUGCGUAGAGAUCAGGAGGAACAUCGGUGGCGAAAGCGCUCUACUGGACGACAACUGACACUCAGGGACGAAAGCUAGGGGAGCGAAUGGGAUUAGAUACCCCAGUAGUCCUAGCCGUAAACGAUGGAUACUAGGUGUGGCUUGUAUCGACCCGAGCCGUGCCGAAGC